rnacentral:lncRNA from 1 species
UUAGAUGGAUGGUUUGGUGGUUUGGUGGGUUGUUGGAGAAGUUGAUGCUAGUUACGAUAUGGCUUAGCCUUAGGUUGUUAUGGGUUGAGAAAGUCCUUUGCAUAAGAUAUAUCUAGGUUCUUAAAUUAAAACUUGACCAACUAAAACAUGAGCUUUGCAGUCCACCAAAUAGACCCUUCCUUAAAACUUGACCAACUAAAACAUGAGCUUUGCAGUCCACCAAAUAAACCCUUCCUUGUUCUAAGUCUGCAUGUUAUCCAUAUAAUUCCCUCCACUUGCGGACUACACGCCUCCAGGUGUACUCAUCGUUUUUCCUUUCAACCCCUG